GGGGGGACCAUCCUCCAAGGCUAAAUACUCGUGAUCGACCGAUAGCGUACUAGUACUGUGAAGGAAAGGUUAAAAGAACCCCGGGAGGGGAGUGAAAUAGAUUCUGAAACCGCAUGCAUACAAACAGUAGGAGCCCUUCGGGGUGACUGCGUACCUUUUGCAUAAUGGGUCAGCGACUUAUGUUAUGUGGCAAGCCUAACCGACUAGGGGAGGCGCAGCGAAAGCGAGUCCGAACAGGGCGAUUCAGUCGCAUGGCAUAGACCCGAAACCAGAUGAGCUAACCAUGGCCAGGCUGAAGGUGUGGUAACACACACUGGAGGGCCGAACCUACUGGUGUUGCAAAACCAGAGGAUGAGCUGUGGUUAGGGGUGAAAGGCUUAACAAAUCUGGAGAUAGCUGGUUCUCCCCGAAAACUAUUGAGGUAGUGCCUUGUAUAUGAGCUUCUGGGGGUAGAGCACUGUUAUAGCUAGGGGGACAUGGCGUCUUACCAAACUAUGGCAAACUCCGAAUACCAGAAAGCUUCGUACAGGAGACAGAGCACCGGGUGCUAACGUCCGGACUCAAAAGGGAAUCAACCCAGACCGCCAGCUAAGGUCCCUAAUAUCAGCUAAGUGGAAAACGAAGUGGAAAGGCUAAAACAGUCAGGAAGUUGGCUUAGAAGCAGCCAUCCUUCAAAGAAAGCGUAAUAGCUCACUGAUCGAGUCCUUCCGCGCGGAAGAUGUAACGGGGCUAAGUUGAUAACCGAAGCUGCGGAUUCAUACUUUUAGUGUGAGUGGUAGGGGAGCGUUCUGUAAGCCUGCGAAGGUGGAUCGUAAGAUCUGCUGGAGGUAUCAGAAGUGCGAAUGCUGACAUGAGUAACGAUAAAGCGGGUGAAAAGCCCGCUCGCCGCAAACCCAAGGUUUCCUGCUCUACGUUAAUCGGAGCAGGGUGAGUCGGUUCCUAAGGCCAGGCUGAGAAGCGUAGCUGAUGGAAAUCAGGUUAAUAUUCCUGAACCGGCGUUGAAUGCGAUGGGGUGACGGAGCAGCCAGAGUGGACCGGGUGUUGGAUGUCCCGGCUUCCGAGCGAUGGGUGCCUGCAGGCAAAUCCGCAGGCGUAUACCCAGGACGAAGGAUCGGGUCUUCUUUUGAAGACGAAGCCACUGGAAGCGCUUCCAGGAAAAACCUCUAAGCUUCAGUUCAACGGCGACCGUACCGUAAACCGACACAGGUGGGUGAGCUGAAUAUGCUCAGGCGCUUGAGAGAACUCGGGAGAAGGAACUCGGCAAAUUGACACCGUAACUUCGGAAGAAGGUGUGCCUUUGUAGCUUGAUGGGAGAGAAACCCAAAGGGCGAAGAGGUCUCAGAGAAUCGGUGGCUGUAACUGUUUACUAAAAACACAGCGCUCUGCAAAGAUGAAAGUCGACGUAUAGGGCGUGAUGCCUGCCCGGUGCUGGAAGAUUAAUUGAUGGGGUGCAAGCUCCUGAUCGAAGUCCCAGUAAACGGCGGCCGUAACUAUAACGGUCCUAAGGUAGCGAAAUUCCUUGUCGGGCAAGUUCCGACCUGCACGAAUGGCAUAAUAAUGGCCACACUGUCUCCUCCCGAGACUCAGUGAAAUUGAAAUGUUUGUGAUGAUGCAAUCUCCCCGCGGCUAGACGGAAAGACCCCAUGAACCUUAACUGUAGCUUUGCAUUGGACUUUGAACCGAUCUGUGUAGGAUAGGCGGGAGGCUUUGAAGAAUGGACGCCAGUUCAUUCGGAGCCGUCGUUGAAAUACCGCCCUGAUUUGUUUGAGGUUCUAACCUGGGCCAGUAAUCCUGGCUGGGGACCGUGCAUGGUGGGCAGUUUGACUGGGGCGGUCUCCUCCUAAAGGGUAACGGAGGAGUGCGAAGGUACGCUAAUCACGGUCGGAAAUCGUGAGGAUACUGCAAUGGGAAAAGCGUGCCUGACUGCGAGACAGACAAGUCGAGCAGAUGCGAAAGCAGGUCAUAGUGAUCCGGUGGCUUCUGCAUGGAAGGGCCAUCGCUCAACGGAUAAAAGGUACUCUGG
rnacentral:rRNA from 1 species